rnacentral:lncRNA from 1 species
AGUAGUCUACAUCAGUGGUUACAUUGUAUGCAGUCAAACUAGGUGGAAGCAGUAGAACAAAAAACAAUCUCCAUUGUGUAUAUGCAGUAACUCAUAUAUUGAAGCGUAAAACAACGACAGUCAGGCUCGUUUUUCUGCCCUUUCGUUUAUUCUCAAGCUUUUGUCUUACUGAUCUGUUUUUUUUUUAAAUAAAGCUGUUGUUUUACCUUCAACUGCAAAAGGCGCAACAUAUGUGUUGAAAUCAGCCAUGUGACUUAUUUGAAGAUUCAUGUGACCUUUGUUGUUGUUUAGAUAUUUUAUUCAAAAGUUCGUAUAUCCCUUCCACCAUUUAUUUAGAUGGUUUUUUUAACGUAUAGAUAUCGCAAAACUCACUAUGCAUCGGAUAUAUACAUUUUUAUUUCGACUAAACGAGGCUGCAAAUUUAUACAUCCAAGCAGCUAAACAGCCGCACCAAAUUUUAGCAAAGAUAUACUAUCGGAUGGGAGAAGUCCAGAGAUGUGAAUAUUUCUAUACCCAAUCAAUCCUUUUGGUUUGAAAAAGAUUUUAGAGGUAUACAUUAAUACGACAGCAACCCAACGACCCAUAUAAUUCAAAACACUAACAGUCAACAUACAGAUUUUUGUUAUAGCUAGAAGCCUAUAAAGAAUAAAAAGCCCGAAACUGCAAAAUGAAUUAAUACGGAGUCAGUGAGUUUUUCACUAUCGGGUUUUACAAUUUUGACGAACACAAUAGUAAAACUAUCUGAAUUGUUAUCUCGUCCAGAUACUGGUUCAUUAUAAAUAAGAAGAUGCGAUAUGAGUGCUAUCGAGACAAAUACCCAACAAAGUCAAAUUUUAUAAAUACAUUUGUCUGCCACACCGUCGCACUGCCUUUAAAAAAUGAGCGGGGAAAUGUACCGUUAUUUUCCGAAACGUCUUAAUUUUUUGCGCAAUUUGUGAGGCUUACGAGAGGGAUUGAGUAAACAGUAUUAUAUUACUCAAUUUUUCUCAAAAACGAGAAUGGUGACAAAUAUUUUUCAAAACGUUAUGACGUUCCAUUUUUUAAAAAGAAUAACAUAUCUUAACUUGGGCAAAUCGACACCGUUAGAAAUAUUUAAAA